rnacentral:rRNA from 1 species
UACGUAGGUGGCGAGCGUUACUCGGAAUGACUGGGUGUAAAGCGUAGGUAGGUGGUUUGGUAAGUACAGUGUGAAAUCCCGAGGCUCAACCUCGGGGCUGCGCUGUAGACUGCUUGACUAGAGUCAGGUUGAGGUGAACGGAAUUCCCGGUGUAGCGGUGAAAUGCAUAGAUAUCGGGAGGAACACCAGUGGCGAAAGCGGUUUGCCAGGCCUGUACUGACACUGAGCUACGAAAGCGUGGGGAG